GUGUAGGGUGCUGCAUGGUUGUCGUCAGCUCGUGCCGUGAGGUGUCGGCUUAAGUGCCAUACGAGCGCAACCCUCAUCAUAGUUACCAUCAGGUAAGGCUGGGGACUCUAAUGAGACUGCCAUCGUAAGAUGGUGAGGAAGGUGGGGAUGACGUCAAAUCAGCACGGCCCUUACGUCCGGGGCGACACACGUGUUACAAUGGGUGGUACAAAGGGCAGCUACCUGGCGACAGGAUGCUAAUCUCCAAAACCACUCUCAGUUCGGAUCGGAGUCUGCAACUCGACUCCGUGAAGCUGGAUUCGCUAGUAAUCGCGCAUCAGCCACGGCGCGGUGAAUACGUUCCCGGGCCUU
rnacentral:rRNA from 1 species